UCCCAGCCUAAGGUGCAUUGCAGUAAUCUUAGUCUUGCAACAACAUGAUUGCUCAAAAGAAUUUUAAAAUCAUGCUAACGACCAUCAAGCCUCCUCUAAGUAGUUAAGUACUGAUAUCGAAUGUACUGCAAAGAAGACCGCAAAACUCGACAUUUAACUAGAAAAUUUCUUAUACAGAUUUCAAUCUGAAUGAAUACAACCAAUAACUGACAAGAAUGACUUAACUAUAUAAAUAGCACCCUGAUAAGACGUCUGUGAGGGGUGUGUAUCGCGAGACUGAUAACUCGAAAAAUAUGAAAAUGAAAGCUGCGUUUCGUUCAUCCUUGGAUAUAGGAAGAAAGUGAUACGAGUCAUCGAGAUGUUGCACAAUUGACCGCGUGACCGGAGCCAAGGAAAAGCAUGUGCAUCUAAUGAUUAUUACUACCUGGAGUGGAAAAUUGUUCCCGGAAAGUGGUACCUGCUUAGAAUUAAAUGACAACAGUCUCCUUGCGAAGGUCCGAAUGAAUUUGGGUUAACGAUUCGCCGUACAAUAAUGAUCACGUGGUAACCGGCAAAAAGAUAAGAAGAAAAGAAAAGGAUCGAACGGAAAAAAGAAACCAUAUUCUUGCACAUUCUCGCUCUGGGACCUUCACAACGUUUACAUUUUAAUACUACAGUUUCCUAUAAUAGGUAAUAGUGGAAUUCAGCUGUUCGCAUUUCGACUUUACGUUGUUCGUUUACGCAAUGAUCAUUGAACUGAUCUAGCGUAAGAAAGCCCUAGUCUGAUGACAAUAUCGAUGACUAAAGAUUGCACAAAAUUUCACAGAGGGUGUGCAAUCACGUAGAGUGACCAUUUAAAGAACGGUAUGGCGAGUAAUGGCUCAGAGAAGAGAGAGGGGUGUAGAAUAGCAGUUGUAACGUAGCGAGGGAGGCAGUUCAGGACUGGUGAGCCUAGUCACUAACUUUUUAAGCAACGGGCACAUUCUGUUCCUGUCGUGCGUAAUCGUGGUAGCGCGUGCGUGUCCAGGCCAAAACUUCGCUCGAUUAUUCGAGGAGAAUUAGAAAGGACAUAUGAUACGACAGACUGUUUUUGAGCUAUGAAGGAACCUUGAUUUGUUUUCUCAUCUGGUAAACGGACUCUUUUGAUUUGUCGACUUUUUCGCAUCUUCUUUGAAUAUAUGUGAUAUUUAUUCUAGUAUAUGUAGAAUAUACACUGAGUGUACGUAUACACCGAAGAAUUUGUAUGCAUGAACAUGUUCGUAAGAGGCAAGAACUCGUGAUCCAAACCCGGAACCGGAUUCGCGCAAGAUAUUUUGGAAAAAGAUGAUAGUAUACUCUAGACUCUAAAGUCUCCCUAUUAAGGGGGCAUAUACGAAUAGAGUUAGUGUUUUGAGGGUCAAAUUCUAAAAUCUUUUGACUUCAGUAUUUUUUUGUAAAUUCCCUUAAGAGGACUGCGUACCUCUUAUUAUUAUGCAAGUAAAAUGUAAAUGAAAAUCGUGAAUA